GAUGAACGCUGGCGGCGUGCCUAAUACAUGCAAGUCGAGCGACCGCACGGGAAUCUGCCUUCCGGCGUGUUGCGGACGGGCGGGUAAUUAACCGGUGGGUACCCUACUUUUAGGACUGGCAUAGCUUCGGGAAACCGGAUUUAAUACCGGAUCUUAUUUUGAACGCCAUGGUCCAAAAGGGCAAGCGGUUUUUGCUGUCCCUUUUGCGGGGUUCCGCGCUGCAUUAGUUAGUUGGUAAGGAAACGGCUUACCAAGGCAAGGAUGCAUAGCCGACCUGCGAGGGUGAUCGGCCACACUGGAACUGAGGCACGGUCCAGACUCCUACGGGAGGGAGCAGUAGGGAAUCUUCCGCAAUGGGCGAAAGCCUGACGGAGCAACGCCGCGUGAGUGAUGAAGGUCUUCGGAUCGUAAAACUCUGUUAUUAGGGAAGAACAUAUGUGUAAUUAACUGUGCACAUCUUGACGGUACCUAAUCAGAAAGCCCCGGCUAACUACGUG
rnacentral:rRNA from 1 species